GGGGCAGCCGGCCUGGACGGCGGCUCCUGUGUCCAUGAACACCCAGGAGGAGAGGCAGGCUCCAGCAGAGGAGGAGUGUGCAGCUCAUCUCGACUGGAGCUUUCACUCGGCACAGCAGGGGAGGCUGUGGGCUUCCCUCCAGCACCGACAGAACGCUGGGUGCGAAGCCGCUCGGAUGAGGGAUGGUACAACAUCUCCAGCUGUACUGAUGUUCGAGAAUUCUCCCAGGAAUUCUUUUCGCGAUACAUGUCCAGUCUCUGUUACUAGGAUCUGCAUGGAGCCCCUAAGACACGAGCCAUGGUCCCCCCAGCCUCCCCCCUCAGUCUUCGAGGACCGGCACUCCCCCAUCCAUCCUGUUCUGGAGUGGCUGAACGACUACUUGCUUCGACCACCUGGGCAGCCUGUGAUGUUCUGGGACCUCCGUGCCCAUUCGAGUGAAGUUGUAGGACCCCCUGGGGCCUCUUCUGCACCUUGUGAAAAUCUCAAGCACAUCCAACCUCCUGUUGGGAGAGAAAAAAAGAAUGAGGGAAAGUAAGGAGGGGAGAAGUCUGUCGAAGUUUGCCCUCCGCCUCCCAUCCAUCGGCCGCGUCAGACAGCUGACAACCUGGCUGCUCCCAAGCUUCAGAGCCAUCUCUCUGCUGUGAAAGGCUGGUCGCAGACCUGGUCUGGAGUUUUCACCCUUCAAGCCAUUAUCUGCUGUGUCAGCAGAGCCGUCGGUUGCAUUCAUAUUCACCACUUUGUUCCCAAGUCUAAUCUGGAAGAUACAAAACACAGAAGUGCCAGGAAUCCGCAAUUAGGCUCGCUGUGCAGCCAUCCUCCCGUGACACAGCUGUUGAUGGAAGCGAAGACCAUCCACGCGGAAACACCAUUGUCCAUUGUCAGUGCCCGUCAGUGCCUCUUUGCGUACUUGUCCCUCUGUGACCACACAGCUGGCCUCUUCCCACCCCUCUAAUGCCCACAGUGAAUCCAGAUCCAAACAAGCAACUUCCUCAGAACAACAGUGAGCCAACCCAACAUGAUGAGCAGGUAACCGGUACCCACGGAGCAUCUCGUCAGGAGGAGGAAAGAGGGCUCGUCUUGUGCACCACACAGCAAAGGCCGUGCUCUCCCCCACCCUCCCUGCCCUCUCUCGGCUCCUCACCGCACUCCUCUUCACCCUCGCAGAUUCUAGGAUCGCCUCUACCGUCCAGAGCUGUUUAGUCCCACGAUGACACAGGCAUGUGCUUAACUUGCCGUCUAAGAUCACGGGCAGCCCGGCCAUCUACCUGGUCCCUGGAGAUGCUCCUGUCUCCCAGGCAGCUCUCUGAUGUAUCCACAUGACGAUAGGAAGAGGGACAGGAAGGUGGGGGGGUGUACCGUGAGCAGCCGUCAGACCUGAUCUGCUCCACGACACAUGCAUGGGCACUGCCCCCCGCCUUCAGUCCCCGUAUUGUCCUGCAGGCCCCACUUGCUGCAUCUUUCCCACACACAAGAAAAUAGGCCAAAAAGGGUUUUGGAUAGUUAUCUUAUUUUAUUCCCUUUUUGUUUGUGUCUCUCUGCUGCCCUUGCCCCUCAG
rnacentral:lncRNA from 1 species